UUUAUCAUUUAAUUUGUUUACAAUAUAUAUUACCAUUAAAUUUUGACAGUACUUUAAGAUCAAGAAGGGGUAUAGUCCAAUUUUCCUCGUGUUUUCCAUUUUGCUAACUAAAAUGGCUUUAAAAUUCAAACUUGCUAUCUAAGAAAACGGUCAUUCAAUUAUAUACGAAAUAUUUCAACAUCAGUAACAAUGCCAAAGUUUUUCUCAGAUACCACGGUUUUCAGUUAUAGUUGGGACCAAGUGGCUCAAGGAUUUUGGAAAAGGUAUCCUAAUCCCAACAGUAAGCAUGUACUCAGUGAAGACACGGUACAAAGGGAAGUACGUUCCGGGAAGUUAUUUUCCAAACGUCUUUUAUCAAAAACGAGCUUGAGUAGCCUUCCAAAAUGGGCCGAGAGGUUUGUGACGGCGAAAAAUGUCAAUAUUGUGGAAGAAACCAUUGUUGACCCUGGUAACCGAGUUCUUGUGAGCUAUACACGAAAUUUAGGAUAUGCCAAAGUGAUGAGUGUGACUGAAAAAGUUGUUUAUACAGAAAGUGAAGAGUAUCCUGGAAAAACAGUAGCCUUGAGGUAUGCUUGGAUUGACUCCCAAAUUAAAGGAUUUAGUCGAGCAAUUUGUGCUUUUGGGUAUGAACGUUUCAAGAAAAAUUGUUGUAAAAUGGCUGGUGGUUUCAACUACGUUCUCUCCAAUUUAUAUCCCCACUAUAAUAACUUACCAUCAACACAUGCCACAAUUAAAGCUGCCACAAAAUUGAAAGAUGCGGCGAAAAAUGCUUCGGAGUUAGCAAAAUCCAAGGCUGCGCCCAUAUAUGCUUCUUUACAUCCUAAUCAAUCUUAGAAAUAGGGGGUUUGCAGUAUCCAAAUUACUUGUUAAUGGGAUGGCUAACUUUGCUGUUCUCACAAAUAUUUUUGGGAGCUAACUGACUUGACGGGCAUAAUACACUAUAGGUGGGUACAAAAGUAAUAUUUAUUCAGUAUACUUUUAUAUUUUGGUUGGUUAAACUUUUUUUUCAAUUUAUCGUUUCCAUUUGAAUUUUGAUAUUUUUAUACAUAAUUGGAUGUAAUUUUGAGACACAUUGGAUUCUUUAUAGAUAUGUAUGUAUAUAUGUAUAUGGUCAUUAACCAAACUAUCAUAGAAUGUCUGAAUUAGUAUAAAACCUUGUAGUCAUUAUAUAAACAGUAGUUGAAAAUACAUUUUUUAAAUGAAAA